rnacentral:rRNA from 1 species
UACGUAGGGGGCAAGCGUUGUCCGGAUUUACUGGGCGUAAAGAGCGUGUAGGCGGCCAAACAGGUCCGUUGUGAAAACUGGAGGCUCAACCUCCAGACGUCGACGGAAACCGUGUGGCUAGAGUCCGGAAGAGGAGAGUGGAAUUUCAGGUGUAGCGGUGAAAUGCGUAGAUAUCUGAAGGAACAUCAGUGGCGAAAGCGACUUCCUGGACCAAUACUGACGCUCAUGUGCGAAAGCGUGGGGAGCAAACAGG